AACAAUAAAUCCAUGUGAAAAUGAAAAGCAAAGCUGCUCUGUUAACAAAUACUUUCUAAUGUGACCCCUUGGAUUUGAUAAGGUUUGGUACAUGAAAGCAAAACUAUUUUACUAAAGACAAAUAAAUAUUUUCAGUUACUGAUAGUC